GAAUUAAAAGGGACUAAUCAAUUUUAACACAUUUCUUCCCCUUACUAGUCUUUGACCAUUAAAAGAGACAAUACAACAAAAUCAAAAUAUUGAAGAGAAAAAUAUUUUAUUUAUUUUAUUAGUAUAUACAGAUGUAUUGCAGUAAAAAUCAAAAUUAGUUUUAUAAAAUAUACUUUUUUAAACAUACAUUUUUGUCACUAUGAAAUAUUGUAAUAGUUUUAGAAACAUGUACAGAAAUAAUGUUUGUUUGUAAUAUGUAUAGCAUUGUACAGUAAAGCUAAUUGCUUGUAAAUUUCAACAAUAGUAUUCCAGAUAAUGCUCCAGUUCUUAGUUUUGUACAGUGUAAAAUUGUACAGUGAAUGAAGUUGAUAUUAGUUGAUAUCGGCUUGUUAUAUAGGUCUAUAAUAUUUUGAAUAUACAGUAACACAAAAAUACAACAAACAAUCUAAAAAAAAGCAGUGUUUAGUUAGUGACUGAAUAUAAGGUAUAUUCUGCUGGUCAGGUGAGAGGAGCUGCUCCUGUCUGAAGAGAAAACACACUCUCAGAACUAUAACACACACAUACUGUAACUCUCAUCAUACAGUAUAUACAGUAGACUAACAGAGUAAGAGAACUGAUUCUAUUUAGUCUGUGUGUGAUCGGUGAGAAUCUCACCUCGUCUGUGAGUCUCUCUGAAUAAAACUUUCUGCAUCAUCACAAACUAGACAUUAAAAACACAAACAUCUGAUUAUCUUCAUAGUUUUUAUAUAGUAGAUAAAUAGUAAAGUUUAGGGUUGAUUUUACAUUCAGACAGCAGAGAAGAUGCAAUUGCAUUAUAUGUUGAUAAAAUAACUGUGUUUUAUCUUUAAUAUCAUAAACACUCACAGUUUGGUCUUCCACUAUUAAUACUGUUCCGUCUGACUCGUCUCAGGAUCUUCUUCUCUUCUGGUUCAUUACAUUGUAUCUCGUCCACUUUGUUUGCCAUGUUUAUUUUUCUCUCUGUUUAAUUCUCCUGCAGUUUGUGAUGCUGGGCAGCCUGUGUUACAAAUAA
ensembl:lncRNA